CACUAUGCUCAGCCCUAAAAUUCGAUAGGUCACUACGCCCCCUAUCCGCCCGGGUACUACGAGCGUCAGCUUAAAACCCAAAGGACUUGGCGGUGCUUCACAUCCGUCUAGAGGAGCCUGUUCUAUAACCGAUAACCCCCGUUAAACCUCACCCUCCCUUGUUAAUCCCGCCUAUAUACCGCCGUCGUCAGCCUACCCUGUGAAGGACUAGAAGUGAGCAAGAUUGGUAAGACCCAAAACGUCAGGUCGAGGUGUAGUGUAUGAGAGGGGAAGAAAUGGGCUACAUUUCCUGAAUCAGGAAAUACGAACAAUGAACUGAAAUAAGCAUUAGAAGGUGGAUUUAGCAGUAAGCAGAUAAACAGAGUGUUCUGCUGAAGUUAAUGGCAAUAAAGCACGUACAUAUCGCCCGUCACUCUCCCCGAGCUAACAUAUUUUUAGAUACCUAAAACGCCACAUCUGCAAAGGGGAGGCAAGUCGUAA
rnacentral:rRNA from 1 species